CAGGCUCAGUAUGAUAAUGAUUGGAUAAUUCCCUUGAAAUUGAUAUUUCGGUUGCAUAUGCAAGUGUAUUUUUUAAAUGCUGAUCUUUCCCAUGUCGCUCUGAAUUAUGCAGAAGAUUUUUUUAAUGAUGGCUACCGAUAAAAAAGGAAACAGAGUUACUGAAAUGAUUUGUGUUGGAUUCAGCCAUUUCCACUGGUACUGCCAAUCUCAUGAUGUUGCCAGUUUUCAUCGGCUCCUUUUUUUAAGAGUUAUUUUCUGAGAAGGGAGCUUGUUCAAAAAUCUGAGUUUCGGCAACCAUUUCCACUCGAUUUCUCCGAAUCUUGCCUUCAAUGGGAAGUCAUUGAAAGAACUGGAAAAAUGGCUUCAUUAAUAUUUGACUCAAGAAAUGGUAUCCUGUGCCUAUGCAACUGUCUAUGGUGGCUUAGCCUAUGUGGCAAUAGCCAUUCUAUAAUUAGUUGCCUCUUUGUGUAGUGUUUCCUUAUGUGGAGAAAAAGAGGUCCCUGGGACAGAGACAAAAAUAAGCUUACUUUCUGGUGGCCGCCAAUCAGGAUACUUCAAUUUGAAUUUCGUCAGAUGAUAAAAUUUCCACCUAGAACACUGUGGAAUUUUGAUAAAGUUCACCUUUUCUAGCAGUGCCAAAGGACAAACCAAAUCAUGGCAUGGUUAUCAGGUUGAAAGGGCUCAUACCUAUAAAAAAAAAUUAUCUUUUCACAGCAAAUUUUACAGAAACAGGAUUUUAUUGGCUAUCAGAAGAUGCUUUUCUAUGGGAAAACCUCCUUAGAGAGACAAAGUUCUUUAGAAUUGAUGGUGUAGGUUGCAGAUGCGGCUCGGAUCCCGCGUUGCUGUGGCUUUGGCAUAGGCUGGCAGCUACAGCUCCGAUUAGACCCCUAGCCUGGGAAACUCCAUGGUAUAACAGCAGUUCUCUGCAUUAGCAUUGACAACCUUUCCUUGUGUUUAGGCUGGUGAAGCAAGUUUGGAGUGAAAAAUGAUUGAUUUGUGUAAAGGUUCAUGUCCACCUAUAAAAAAAGAGUGGUGAAAGUGAAGCAAAAUACUAAGAGGUUAAAAUCGGUCGUUUUAAAUAAUAUACACAUUCAAAUACAUGGUAAUUGUCCGGAUAUAACCAGAUACAACCUCACUUUUCAAAAUAAGGACUCUGAGACUUCGGAAAUCCCCAGGUUCCAAACAGUUUUCUUUGAAUGCUCCCGGAGAGUAGAAAAAGGUUUCUCUUACUGCGUUUUGGCUUAGGCCUCAUCCUUACUUACCAUGUGGUUUGAGUUUUAUGAGUGAGUUUGGUGAUCAAAUUGCUAAAACGAAACACCUCUUUUGUUUUAUUGUUUUCAUUAAAUAAGACAUCAGAACAGUGCACAUACAAGGCAAUUUCAACAUUACCUGGAGGUUAAGGUGAAUCCCUUGCCGGAAGUAAGAAAAAGCUUGUAAGCUAAAUAUGGCUACCCAAGAAAUGAAGAAAAAAAAAUUCCCAUGAUUUAUGUAGGAGAAGGUUAUCCAAGAUAAUUCACUCUAACAAAGGACAGAAUUCACAAUUCAUUAUGUUCCAAAUGUAAAUGAAAAUGAAAAAAAAAAAUGGCACCUGCAUAUUCAAGAUUAACUCAUUAAAUCUUCCUUGUGUGGGAAACUAGAGAGCUAACUCUAGAAUGUAAACAGUUAAUCCAUCACUCCUUUAACAGUUCAUUAUUGAGCAGCUUAUAUAUCAGUUAUUUAAAAGCAUUUCUGAAGCAACUGGCAUUAAGCCUUCAGAAAGAUGUGGCCCCUGCCUUCAAGGAACUUUAUUAUGCAAUCACUAAUAUUUUCAAAACAAAGCCAGUUGUUUUUAAGAAGGUAUACAAUACCACAUGUGUUUCACAUCUCUUUGUGUUUAUAUAUGGUAUUCUCUUUUUUUUUUUCAGAUCAAGUGUAUAGUCAAAAUAAGAUAUGAAAACAUAUUAAAGUGGAUGUCUAAGUAUAAAAUAUGUUUCUGUGUAAACCUCUAUAUGUACUCAUAGGAUAUGUACUGCUGUCUAUGUAAAUCAGUAAAAGGAUAACCCAUUUUGCCAUGUGGAACUUGAACAGUAUGGCUUGGGGUUUGGAUUCAUUGAAAACCCUUUGAUAUUUGGGUCAAUUACAUUGUCGCCAAAUGUGUGUCAUCUGGGAAAAACUAUAUGAUUAUAUUUCCCUUUAAAUAUUACAAAGUUUCAAGUUUAAGGGGAAAACCUCUACAGAAAUAUCGUUGGCUGUAUCUUGACCAGCCCUAUCUGAAAAUCUUUUUGAAGUUUUCCGUGGUUCCCAAAUAUGACUGGGUUUGCCCACCCUAAAAGCAUCCGCAUUUACACAUGUACACACUCACAUACAGUAUACAUACUGUAUAUAAUAUAUAUGAAAAUGUUUAGUAUGCACUUCCUUUGUUUGGAAUUCCUUCGGUUAACAUUUAUAGUGUAGCAAUUUGUGUAAAGUGCACUGUGAUUAUAACAAAAAAAGAAAGCACAGUAAAGUCACAGGUCUUGUUAUCUUGCACUAAAAAUGUGUUUACGUAUUUAGCAAUUGUAUGUUUACUUUCUUGCUCUUUUCAAGAAAUUGAAACAAAUAGCUAUUGAGAAACUGAUAUCAAAUAAUAUGUUUUUUAGUGGAUAAUGGCACUACGUUUUUAAAAGACAGGGUUUUUAAAAGAAACCAUUUAACAUCCAUUCCAGCGUAACAUGUUUACCGUAUCUAAAAAUCUGAAUGUCAUAUUGCAUUUUUUCAUAACUCAUUAAAAAUGUCAGGUAUGUGCCUGAAAAGUUGUGCAAAUAAGCAUUAGAUAACAGAUUUCUCUAUUCACGUGUUGUUAGCCAUUUCUAUAUACAUAAUAAUAUAAACACUGAUGUUUUAAUUUCUUUUAAUUUUUGUACUUGAUUUUUUUAGGUAAUAUGUAAUUAUAAAUGUACUUUGAUACUACUGAAAGUAACCAGAUGUUGUUUGAAAACAGAUUGUUUUCUUUAGUGCAUUGGCGAUAUUUUGCAAUACUUUUGUGCUUAUUUAUUUGUGCUCCCGUGUAAUUAUAAUAAAAGCAAUAGUUUAAAG
rnacentral:lncRNA from 1 species